UCCGGGGAUUGUCCUGGUUUCGGUAGACCUAAAAUGGACUCCCAGGCAGAGACGGCGGAGGGAUCCGUGCUCCACCUUGUCUCUGUGGUGUGGUCUGUCAGAAAGUAGCAUGGAUGGAUUGGAGUUGAGGCAUAAUUUGAAUUUCCAAUUGAAAGUACUGGGCCGGCGCCACCACUAGGCAGCUUUAGGCAGCUGCCUAUGGGCGGCAGCGCUGGAAGGGCGGCACUGAGUGCAACUAAAAAAUCCUCCUCACUCCCCCCUCCCUCCCGUCCCGAUGACCGUGUAAGACCUGCUUUCUCCAACGGGUCCUGAAACCGCGCAAAGAGGCCACGGAGCUGCUGCAGCCAGAGGAGGAGGCCGGGGGCGGACCUUAAUCGGGGACCAGGAGCGGAUUUACGUUCAUUGUGCAGUCCCUGUACAGAGUGGAGUGGGCGUGACUGACAAUCGUAGCCCCGCCCCCUCACGGACAUAAUGCCGUAAAUUUGCGGGUGUAUGUUGAAGGAGGCCUAAUGCCAUGAAGUGUCCAUUCACCAAAAAGACCUGAUGCUGGAACAGGUAGUACCCCCGCCCUUGCUCCAAUUCUCUCACUCUUCUUGGCACUCUGUCUCUCUCUCUGACACCUUUAGCUCUCUGUCUCCUCUCCCUCUUUCUGUCCCUGACACCCUUUCUCUCUCUGACACCUUUUCGCUCUCUCUGACACCCUCUGUCUUUCUCGCUAACCCCCAUCCCUAGCACUAACUCUCUGUCCCCCCUCUCUCCCUAGCACCUGCUUUCUGUCUCUCUGACUUUCUUUCUCUCUCUCCCCUCUCUCUCCAGUAUGACACAAGUAAAACAGAAUAGCUUGUUUGUACCGAAUGUAGCGGACCCAGUCCCAG